UGAUAGCUCAGUUGGUAGAGCAUGAGACUCUCAAUCCUAGGAUUGUGGGUUCAAGCCCCACAUUGGGCAAAA